rnacentral:rRNA from 1 species
UAGGGAAUCUUCGGCAAUGGGGGGAACCCUGACCGAGCAACGCCGCGUGAGUGAAGAAGGUUUUCGGAUCGUAAAGCUCUGUUGUUAAGGAAGAACGAGUGUGAGAAUGGAAAGUUCAUACUGUGACGGUACUUAACCAGAAAGGGACGGCUAACUACGUGCCAGCAGCCGCGGUAAUACGUAGGUCCCGAGCGUUGUCCGGAUUUAUUGGGCGUAAAGCGAGCGCAGGCGGUUAGAAAAGUCUGAAGUGAAAGGCAGUGGCUCAACCAUUGUAGGCUUUGGAAACUGUUUAACUUGAGUGCAGAAGGGGAGAGUGGAAUUCCAUGUGUAGCGGUGAAAUGCGUAGAUAUAUGGAGGAACACCGGUGGCGAAAGCGGCUCUCUGGUCUGUAACUGACGCUGAGGCUCGAAAGCGUGGGGAGCAAACAGGAUUAGAUACCCUGGUAGUCCACGCCGUAAACGAUGAGUGCUAGGUGUUAGGUCCUUUCCGGGACUUAGUGCCGCAGCUAACGCAUUAAGCACUCCGCCUGGGGAGUACGACCGCAAGGUUG